UGCAAGUCGAACGAAGCACUUCUGAUGGAGAUUCGUCAAAGUUCAGAUUUGACUUAGUGGCGGACGGGUGAGUAAUGCAUGAGCAACCUGCCCUGCAGUGGGGGACAACAGUUGGAAACGACUGCUAAUACCGCAUGAUGUAUCUGGAAGGCAUCUUCUGGAUACCAAAGAUUUAUCGCUGUGGGAUGGGCUCAUGUCUGAUUAGUUAGUUGGUGGGGUAACGGCCUACCAAGACUGCGAUCAGUAGCCGGACUGAGAGGUUGAACGGCCACAUUGGGACUGAGAUACGGCCCAGACUCCUACGGGAGGCAGCAGUGGGGAAUAUUGGGCAAUGGGCGAAAGCCUGACCCAGCAACGCCGCGUGAAGGAAGAAGGUCUUCGGAUUGUAAACUUCUUUUAUGGGGGACGAAGGAAGUGACGGUACCUCAUGAAUAAGCCACGGCUAACUACGUGCCAGCAGCCGCGGUAAUACGUAGGUGGCAAGCGUUGUCCGGAUUUACUGGGUGUAAAGGGCGCGUAGGCGGGAUGGCAAGUCAGAUGUGAAAUCCAUGGGCUCAACCCAUGAACUGCAUUUGAAACUGUCGUUCUUGAGUAUCGGAGAGGCAAGCGGAAUUCCUAGUGUAGCGGUGAAAUGCGUAGAUAUUAGGAGGAACAC
rnacentral:rRNA from 1 species